AGUGGGUAAGAUCCCUUGGAAAAUCGAUUGAAAAGUGGGAAAAGAACAAGGACUUCAAUCGGUCUCACCCUGUAAUUGGAGAAGUCUACUGCUACUCCACCUAAUUAUACAGGUCGAAACCCACAAGGCCACAUUCACAAUCGAUCAAGAGCUCAAGAUAGGCUGCCAGAGAUGACGCCGUAGCCAGUUCCCAUUUGUCUUACACCAUUUUAAGGCAUUGCUACUGCUGGUUAUCUUCCGAGUAGUGAUUAAACGACCCACAAAGUGGAAGGACCGAAGGGGGGAGAAGUGGAACAGGGGGCAAAACGAAUUGAAUCCUAGGGUUUUUUCAGUUCGGGUGGUGUUGUACUAAACCAUUUUGGUUGGCUGUUGCAAAGAUGGCAAAAGAAGAGCAGGAACUUCGAUCGAACUACAAUCUUCGUUCAAAUGAGAGAGAGAGGAAGAAGAGCAGGGACUUCCAUUGAUCUGCUAUGUCUUCGCGAUUUGAA